CCCUGUUUUCCCCAAAAUAAGACAUCCCCUGAUAAUAAGCCCAAUAAUAAACCUAAUAAACUUUUUAUGAUGUGGCGGUGGUGGCUGUUCUACUACAAAAAGACCCCCAGAAAAAUCUAAUGCCGUGUGCUUACGUAUCCAGGAAGUUAAUGGACACUGAGCACAGAUGGGCGGCAUGGGAAAAAGAGGCGUUUGCGGUGCGAUGGGCUCUCCUGUCCUGGAAACAUUUCCUGGAGGGGGUGGAGGAGCCUUUUGAGGUUUGGACUGACCACAUGAAUCUCGAGGCACCGAAGACCCCGAGGAAGCUUUCUCCAAAGCAGGGGGAGACACCUGUCAGCCUUGGAAGCCAUAUUAGGCCGGAAGCUUCAAUGCUGCCACCUCAUGUAUGUGAAAGUAGGAGGGGGGAUUUAGGAGAAGGGAAUUAGUAGACAUAAUAGCAUUCUUCCUAUCGGUCAUGGUCAGGGUGAUUCAGCAUCUGGAGGAGGAGGGUCAGGUGCUGGGUCGAGGUGGAACGCACAUUGAUUGGAGCAUGUGAUCAAUUGAGGAGAAAGGGGGUGAUUUUGGGAACUUUGUAUUACUGAAGGAAAGCCCGGGCUUUUCAGAUUCGGGAUUUCCCAGAUGUGCCAGUUUACCUAUUUCUAGUAAAGAGAAUUUUGGAAAA